UAAAAUAUAUUUAAAAUGAUGAAAAUUUAUAUAUAAAGCAUCUUCAGCCUUCUCUCUAUUUAUCAGCUAUUAAUAAUGGGAUUUUAUAUAUGAAAAGUAAUUUCCCCAAAAAUGGAUGCAAGCAUUAAAUCUGAAGGAGCAUUGCCAAGAGGAAAUAUGACUUUUAGAUUUUGUGAUGUGAUUUUGAUCAGCUCAAGAGGAUUUUGCUUAAGAUGAGUAAACAACCGAAGGGACUUGAGCAGAUGCACUUGAAUUUGUUAAAUUGAGUUUUACUGGCUGUAAGAAAUCUCACCCUCCGUGUGAAUGAAGCGACUGUCUGUGUGAAUGCUGAGAUGAAUUCAUAUGCUUCCCGUACAUUUGUUUCAUACAGACUGAACAAUUGUGGCCCCUUUAUUCUAUUCAUUAAGGUUCAGUGUAUGUUUGCCAGCCUACAUCUGCAAGGGAGUUGCAGAAAAGCCUCAUGUUCAUCGAGCCGAGAUGAGUCGAGACAGCGGGUUAAAUUCACAGACGAGCGUGUCUGCAAAUCGCACCUGCUCAACUGCUGCCCGCAUGACAUCCUCUCUGGAACGCGCAUGGACCUUGGCGAAUGCUCUAAGAUACAUGACCUGGCGCUGAGAGCAGACUAUGAGAUCGCGUCUAAAGAGAGAGACCUGUUCUUCGAACUGGAUGCGGUGGAUCACCUGGAGUCGUUUAUUGCCGACUGUGACCGCAGGACUGAGUUGGCCAAAAAGCGUCUCGCUGAGACACAGGAAGAGAUCAGCGCUGAGGUGGCCGCAAAGGCAGAAAAGGUUCACGAGUUGAACGAGGAGAUCGGGAAGCUGCUGGCGAAAGCUGAACAGCUCGGCGCUGAGGGGAAUGUGGAUGAAGCCCAGACAGUUCUACAGGAGGUUGAGAGAGUCCGAACUAAGAAGAAGGAUGCAGAGGAAGAGUACAGGAACUCUAUGCCCGCCUCCAGUUUCCAGCAGCAGAAGUUGCGCGUCUGUGAGGUUUGCUCUGCCUAUCUUGGUCUCCAUGACAAUGACCGGCGUCUCGCUGACCACUUUGGCGGCAAACUGCACCUGGGCUUCAUUCAGAUCAGAGAGAAGCUGGAACAGCUGAAGAAAACCGUGCAGGACAAACAGGAGAGACGGAACCAGGAGCGACUGAGGAGGAGGGAAGAGCGGGAGAAAGAGGAGAAAAUGAAAAAACAUUUUUGAAGUUCAAGGAAACCCACUGUUAAAAAGACUAAUGACUAAGUCACGCAGCCGAGAACGCAAGAGGUCUCGUUCUCGUGAACGUGAUCGAGAGCGCAGACGCCGACGUUCCCGCUCC